rnacentral:rRNA from 1 species
UAGAGUUUGAUCAUGGCUCAGAUUGAACGCUGGCGGCAGGCCUAACACAUGCAAGUCGAGCGGAAACGACACUAACAAUCCUUCGGGAGCGUUAAUGGGCGUCGAGCGGCGGACGGGUGAGUAAUGCCUAGGAAAUUGCCUUGAUGUGGGGGAUAACCAUUGGAAACGAUGGCUAAUACCGCAUAAUGCCUACGGGCCAAAGAGGGGGACCUUCGGGCCUCUCGCGUCAAGAUAUGCCUAGGUGGGAUUAGCUAGUUGGUGAGGUAAUGGCUCACCAAGGCGACGAUCCCUAGCUGGUCUGAGAGGAUGAUCAGCCACACUGGAACUGAGACACGGUCCAGACUCCUACGGGAGGCAGCAGUGGGGAAUAUUGCACAAUGGGCGAAAGCCUGAUGCAGCCAUGCCGCGUGUAUGAAGAAGGCCUUCGGGUUGUAAAGUACUUUCAGUUGUGAGGAAGGGGGUAGCGUUAAUAGCGCUAUCUCUUGACGUUAGCAACAGAAGAAGCACCGGCUAACUCCGUGCCAGCAGCCGCGGUAAUACGGAGGGUGCGAGCGUUAAUCGGAAUUACUGGGCGUAAAGCGCAUGCAGGUGGUUCAUUAAGUCAGAUGUGAAAGCCCGGGGCUCAACCUCGGAACUGCAUUUGAAACUGGUGAACUAGAGUACUGUAGAGGGGGGUAGAAUUUCA